AGAGUUUGAUUAUGGCUCAGGAUGAACGCUGGCGGCGUGCUUAACACAUGCAAGUCGAACGAAACACCUUAUUUGAUUUUCUUCGGAACUGAAGAUGUGGUGAUUGAGUGGCGGACGGGUGAGUAACGCGUGGGGAACCUGCCUCCAAGAGGGGGACAACAGUUGGAAACGACUGCUAAUACCGCAUAAGCCCACGACCCGGCAUCGGGUAGAGGGAAAAGGAGCAAUCCGCUUUGAGAUGGCCUCGCGUCCGAUUAGCUAGUCGGUGAGGUAACGGCCCACCAAGGCGACGAUCGGUAGCCGGACUGAGAGGUUGAACGGCCACAUUGGGACUGAGACACGGCCCAG
rnacentral:rRNA from 1 species